UACGUAGGCAGCGAGCGUUGUUCGGAAUUACUGGGCGUAAAGAGUGUGUAGGCGGUGCUCUAAGUUCGGUGUGAAAUCUCCCGGCUUAACUGGGAGGGUGCGCCGGAAACUGGAGUGCUCGAGCGUGGGAGAGGAAAGCGGAAUUCCUGGUGUAGCGGUGAAAUGCGUAGAUAUCAGGAGGAACACCGGUGGUGUAGACGGCUCUCUGGACCGUAACUGACGCUGAGGCACGAAAGCGUGGGGAGCGAACAGG
rnacentral:rRNA from 1 species